UUAAUAUCCAUCAUGGAUCUUGUCUAAAAAGGUUUACGUCGUCAACGUUCUAGGUUACAUAGCAUAUAACUUUGUCAUAGGUGCUUACUCAUAUUGGGGCCCUAAUGCUGGUUAUAGUAUCUAUAACAUGACUAAUGCAGAUAUGAUAUUUGGAGGGAUUACAAUUGUUUGUGGAAUAUUGGGCACUUUAGCAGGAGGC